GAGUUCCCUAUAUAACCUGCUUCCUGAGAUCAAGAAGUCAGCUGGUGGUCUGGGCAGCAGACAAAGCCUGUCCAUCAUGCGUUGUGGUGGCCUUCUCCUCCUUAUGGGGCUCCUCGCUCUCUGGGGUCAACUGACACCUGCCUUCAGCCAGAAUCCAGGGAAGCCUGGGCAAUGUCCUAGGGAACAGCCAGGUAUGGCCGGACCCUGCGUGGUUUGGUGUGAGGAUGACUGGUCAUGCCCUGGAGCUCAGAAGUGCUGCGGGAAUUGCCCACGAGCUUGUGCUAAUCCUGUCAGAGGGAAGCCUGGACGAUGCCCCCCGAAUCGAGGUGUGGGAAUCUGCAUUGCACGGUGUAGAGAUGACUGGUCCUGCCCCGGUAUUCAGAAGUGCUGCGGUGGAUGCCCACGAGAUUGCCGUUUUCCUAUCUAAGUUUCUCUGCCGCAGAAGACCUUGGAUGGACCGGAUGACCAGAAACAAGGAAUGGAGCUUAGCCUGUAUCAUCUGAAGACCUGCUGACCUCUCCGAAUGUGACCAUCAAGGCACCACGAUCUGAGACCUUGGCUUUCUACCAACUUGUCAGGUUUCUGGUCGUUGAGCAGUUUGCUCCAUCCGGCAUCCUCUUUUUCUUUUGCACAAUAAAGGCAUUGACUCAUCUGCAUGCUAGACUGUGUGUGUGUGUGUGUGUGUGUGUGUGUUUUCCCUGCUUCCUUCUCCACGUUGUGCCCAACUUUGUUGUCCCAAUGAGGCAGUGUUGAGGAACCUUCAGCCCACCUGCCAAUCUUGCCCCACCAUCCUUCCACGUUUGGUCCACAAUUCCAUUUGGGGCAAGCCAUACCCACCUGUCCAACACCUGAUGUUAUACAGGUAUGGGUGGCCUUGAGAAAUAGGGCGCGGCUUGCGCAAAGCCCACUUUGGACGGCUCCCAAAUCACCCAGCAGCCAGUUUGCUGUCCGGAGCCACUGACACACUGCCAAGUGAAGAACAGCACCAAGCAGAAUUGCACUCUCUUCCCAUCAGCUGAUGCACUGAUGCAAAGGGAGAGUGGUCCUGCUUAGCACUGGAUUCACAAGAGAGCUGUGUACACCGAAGCCCAGUACUAAGCAGAAUUAU
rnacentral:lncRNA from 1 species